CCACACGACUCUCGGCAACGGAUAUCUCGGCUCUCGCAUCGAUGAAGAACGUAGCAAAAUGCGAUACCUGGUGUGAAUUGCAGAAUCCCCCGAACCAUCGAGUUUUUGAACGCAAGUUGCGCCCGAGGCCUUCUGGUUGAGGGCACGCCUGCCUGGGCGUCACGC
rnacentral:rRNA from 1 species